AACGAACGCUGGCGGCAGGCUUAACACAUGCAAGUCGAACGCCCCGCAAGGGGAGUGGCAGACGGGUGAGUAACGCGUGGGAAUCUACCUAGUUCUGCGGAACAACAGUUGGAAACGACUGCUAAUACCGCAUACGCCCUACGGGGAAAGAUUUAUCGGAAUUAGAUGAGCCCGCGUAAGAUUAGCUAGUUGGUGGGGUA
rnacentral:rRNA from 1 species